GUCUAAAACGACUCUCGGCAACGGAUAUCUCGGCUCUCGCAUCGAUGAAGAACGUAGCGAAAUGCGAUACUUGGUGUGAAUUGCAGAAUCCCGUGAACCAUCGAGUCUUUGAACGCAAGUUGCGCCCCAAGCCUUCUGGCCGAGGGCACGUCUGCCUGGGUGUCACAAA
rnacentral:rRNA from 3 species